CAGCAGCCACGGUAAUACGAAGGGGGCUAGCGUUGCUCGGAAUCACUGGGCGUAAAGGGUGCGUAGGCGGGUCUUUAAGUCAGAGGUGAAAUCCUGGAGCUCAACUCCAGAACUGCCUUUGAUACUGAGGAUCUUGAGUUCGGGAGAGGUGAGUGGAACUGCGAGUGUAGAGGUGAAAUUCGUAGAUAUUCGCAAGAACACCAGUGGCGAAGGCGGCUCACUGGCCCGAUACUGACGCUGAGGCACGAAAGCGUGGGGAGCAAACAGGAUUAGAUACCCCAGUAGUCCCUGUCUCUUAUAC
rnacentral:rRNA from 1 species